UUCAUCAUUCAAAUUUGGCAUUUUCCACUGUUCACACACUUUCUCAUCUCAACAUAUACUCCCCCAUGACCAUACCAUCGCCCAUCAACAUAUACUCCCCCAUGACAUAAUGUGAAUAAAAUAUAUAAAGUAAGUGCUUGGCAAAACUAUAUAAGACUCCUAUUUCGCAGCUAAAUCCAUUCAUCCCAAUGGCCACUACUUUUGCAAAAUGGACAAUCCUCACUAUCCUAUCAGCAAGCAUGAGGCCCAACAAGUUCCUUGCUUCUUCAUUUUUGGAGACUCGCAGUUCGACAAUGGCAAAAACAAUGCCCUUCCCACAUUUGCCAACAGCCAUACAUAAGAGUAAUAUAAGUACAAGAGCAAGUGAUGAAUUAAAGCAUAGUAUAAUAAAGUACUACACACUGAUCAAAGUUAAUUAAGCACACUGUAAAGGAAUGAAUCCGAGUUGGUUGGUUGAUUGCAAGAAAAUUAAGAUACAAAAAAUUAAUGAGUGAAGAUUAUAACCUACUUGGAGCUUCUUCUUCUUCUUCUACCUCUUGUUUUGUUAUAGAUCUUCUGUUUUAUUUGUAUCCCCAGAAUUUUGUAUGUGUCGAAACUCAAGAUUAACUGCAGCAAUUGCAAAGAAAAGCAGCAAUGUAAUUAUUUUUCAGACAUUUUACACUGAAUAGCCCAAAAUGUUGGACCAAAAUCACACAUAAUCCCAAACUGAUCGAAAAUCCUAACUUACAUAAACAGAAAAAUAAAUUGGUAAUCAGGAGUUCCCUUUCAGCAAAUAAUCGAUCAAUAAAUUUAUGAAAUGCACCGGAGUGGAGAAGAAUGGAGAAGAAUCGAUCAAUAGUUGGAGAAGAAUGGAGAAAGGCGAGCUUGAGCGGGCCGGAGAGUGCAUACGUCAAUGGUGAAACCUGGAGCUCAGCCCUCCGAAUAAAAUCAAUCCGGCAGCUUUGGGAACGUCUCUGGGCGGAGAUGGGCAGCACAAUAUCGCGGCAAGGGCCUCGCGGUGGUGGCUCUUCACAGCGGCGGCAAGGGCUUCGCCUAAUCCAUUUGCCGAGCGGAGAUGGGCGGCAAAAUCGAUCGACGAGGGGGGUGAGGAGUCAGGUGGUGCGGUGGGUGAAGCGUCGGUGGGUGAGACAGUGGCUGGUGCGACGGACG
rnacentral:lncRNA from 1 species